rnacentral:lncRNA from 1 species
UAAAAGAACUCAGUUUGAAAAAUAAGUAGGCAAAUGCACAAUAGGAUUACUAACAUGCGCACUGGAUAGUCAGUCACCACUCCAUUGCUAUGCCCUCAUUUAUAGCACCAAAGGUCAAACUCAGAUUGCAAAUGUUUGCUGAAGUUUGUUUAUGAUGUUGCAGGCGUUUUCAAGCAUAUUCAUACUGCUAGACGUAUUCCAAAUCUGUAUAUAAAAGCUCACACGUGACGCGAAAAGAAAGUUUACAAACAUUCUCAUACGUUUUCUCCUCAUACUAUAACAACGUUUCUUUAUUCAGUUACAUUGUAACGCCGACAUGUAGCCUACUCUCCAAAGAUUUAAUAUGGACGUUCACACUGAGGGGAUUCGUUAAUCUAGCUCGGGUUACCCAGAUGAGAGGAGUUUGUAUCGGGUGAAGGUGAUUGCAUUCAUUUUGGAACAGGGCGGCCUGAAGGGUGUUAGCCGGUUCUAAACAAAAGUGUAGUAAUUAAGGACGUGGAGUGAUACAGCGGAUUAGUGAUGAGUCGGAUUCUGUGCAAACGUGCAUUUUGGAUUAUCUCCGGUCAAUCAACAGAAACUACAGCCCCCAUAGUUCCUUGCAAAAUCUCACAGACUCAGUUGCUCUGAAAUGCAUUCAACUGAGCAACAGCGCGCACACGAGUUCAGUCGGGGAAGAAUUUAGAGGUAGGUUUUACCUACUUUCCUUGUUAAUGUACAAAGUUGUAUGUACAUUGUUUAAAACCCAAUUAUUGGUGUCAACUUCAGCUAGCUAACAAGUUCACCAAUGUUCCCUGCAAUAAGAUAAUAUUAACUCGCAUGAUGGAGCUAACAUUAGCUAGAUAGUGUCAGCUACUGUAGGCAGUUAGCUAAAUUGUAUAGGCUAUUUGAUUUUAGCUGUAGCUAGCUCUCUGACAUUGUUCACUAGCAAGGGGUUUAUUAAAAUAAGCUCCUACCUCUUCCAGACAAGCUUAGCUACCUUUAGCUAACUAACGUUAGGUAUUCCAGACUGGAAUCUGGUUAGCUAACGUAACUAGUUAGCUAACAUUGAAUAUGGCUCGUGCCAGCCAUGCGUGCAGAAGUUGCACCCACCCCUGUUUUAGC